AGAUUGAACGCUAGCGGGAUGCUUUACACAUGCAAGUCGAGCGGCAGCGCGGACUUCGGUCUGGCGGCGAGUGGCGAACGGGUGAGUAAUAUAUCGGAACGUGCCCAGUAGCGGGGGAUAACUACGCGAAAGCGUGGCUAAUACCGCAUACGCCCUACGGGGGGAAAGGGGGGGAUUCUUCGGAACCUCUCACUAUUGGAGCGGCCGAUAUCAGAUUAGCUAGUUGGUGAGGUAAAGGCUCACCAAGGCGACGAUCUGUAGCUGGUUUGAGAGGACGACCAGCCACACUGGGACUGAGACACGGCCCAGACUCCUACGGGAGGCAGCAGUGGGAAUUUUGGACAAUGGGGGAAACCUGAUCCAGCCAUCCCGCGUGUGCGAUGAAGGCCUUCGGUGUAAGACUACUUUGGUCGAGGAAGAAACGGCGUAGCCCUAAGUACGGACGUCACUCGACGGUACCGUCGCAGAAUAAGACACCGGACUAACUACGUAGCCAGCAGCCGCGUAA
rnacentral:rRNA from 1 species